rnacentral:rRNA from 1 species
CCGCCGCGCGCGGCGGGCUACGGGAGGCAGCAGUGGGGAAUAUUGCACAAUGGGCGCAAGCCUGAUGCAGCCAUGCCGCGUGUAUGAAGAAGGCCUUCGGGUUGUAAAGUACUUUCAGCGGGGAGGAAGGCGUUGAGGUUAAUAACCUCAGCGAUUGACGUUACCCGCAGAAGAAGCACCGGCUAACUCCGUGCCAGCAGCCGCGGUAAUA